GGGUUGUGAGGUUAAGCGACUAAGCGUACACGGUGGAUGCCCUGGCAGUCAGAGGCGAUGAAGGGCGUGCUAAUCUGCGAUAAGCGCCGGUAAGGUGAUAUGAACCGUUAUAACCGGCGAUACCCGAAUGGGGAAACCCAGUGUGAUUCGUCACACUAUCAUUAACUGAAUCCAUAGGUUAAUGAGGCGAACCGGGGGAACUGAAACAUCUAAGUACCCCGAGGAAAAGAAAUCAACCGAGAUUCCCCCAGUAGCGGCGAGCGAACGGGGAGGAGCCCAGAGCCUGAAUCAGCAUGUGUGUUAGUGGAAGCGUCUGGAAAGGCGCGCGAUACAGGGUGACAGCCCCGUACACAAAAGCGCAUGUGCUGUGAGCUCGAUGAGUAGGGCGGGACACGUGGUAUCCUGUCUGAAUAUGGGGGGACCAUCCUCCAAGGCUAAAUACUCCUGACUGACCGAUAGUGAACCAGUACCGUGAGGGAAAGGCGAAAAGAACCCCGGCGAGGGGAGUGAAAAAGAACCUGAAACCGUGUACGUACAAGCAGUGGGAGCCUCUUUUAUGGGGUGACUGCGUACCUUUUGUAUAAUGGGUCAGCGACUUAUAUUCUGUAGCAAGGUUAACCGUAUAGGGGAGCCGGAGGGAAACCGAGUCUUAAU
rnacentral:rRNA from 1 species